rnacentral:rRNA from 1 species
UAAGGAAUAUUGGUCAAUGGACGCAAGUCUGAACCAGCCAUGCCGCGUGAAGGAUUAAGGCCCUCUGGGUUGUAAACUUCUUUUAUAGGGGAAGAAAUGUGACGGUUCUCCGUCACUUGACGGUACCCCGGGAAUAAGCACCGGCUAACUCCGUGCCAGCAGCCACGGUAAUACGGAGGGUGCAAGCGUUAUCCGGAUUCACUGGGUUUAAAGGGUGCGUAGGUGGGCAGAUAAGUCAGUGGUGAAAUCUUCCGGCUUAACCGGGAAACUGCCGUUGAUACUAUUUGUCUUGAAUAUUGCGGAGGUCAGCGGAAUAUGUCAUGUAGCGGUGAAAUGCUUAGAUAUGACAUAGAACACCAAUUGCGAAGGCAGCUUACUACACAAUCAUUGACACUGAGGCACGAAAGCGUGGGUAGCGAACA